CAGCGAAGCCGCGAGGCGGAGGCAAAUCUCCAAAAAAAUAGUCUCAGUUCAGAUUGCAGGCUGCAACUCGCCUGCAUGAAGUCGGAAUUGCUAGUAAUCGUAGGUCAGCAUACUACGGUGAAUACGUUCCCGGGCCUUGUACACACCGCCCGUCAAACCAUGAGAGUUGGCAACACCCGAAGUCGGUAGUCUAACCGCAAGGAGGACGCCGCCGAAGGUGGGGUCGAUGAUUAGGGUUAAGUCGUAACAAGGUACC
rnacentral:rRNA from 1 species